rnacentral:rRNA from 1 species
GAUGAACGCUAGCGGCAGGCCUAAUACAUGCAAGACGAACGGUAAGUUGAGUAGCAAUACUUAGCCAAGAGUGUCGUACGGGUGCGUAACACGUAUGCAACCUACCCUAUACAGGAGGAUAGCCUAGGGAAACCUGGAUUAACCCUUCAUAGUAUUAUUGGAUGGCAUCAUUUGAUAAUUAAAACUGAGGUGGUAUAGGAUGGGCAUGCGUCUGAUUAGUUAGUUGGCGGGGUAAUGGCCCACCAAGACGAUGAUCAGUAGGGGUUCUGAGAGGAAGAUCCCCCACACUGGCACUGAGAUACGGGCCAGACUCCUACGGGAGGCAGCAGUAGGGAAUAUUGGUCAAUGGAUGCAAGUCUGAACCAGCCAUGCCGCGUGCAGGAAGAAGGCCUUCUGGGGUUGUAAACUGCUUUUGCCAGGGGAUAAAAUUUCCAUGCGUGGAAAACUGAAGGUACCUGGUGAAUAAGCCACGGCUAACUACGUGCC